UCCUCAGUAGCUCAGUGGUAGAGCGGUCGGCUGUUAAUGGUAUUUCUGGUCGUAGGUUCGAAUCCUACUUGGGGAG